rnacentral:rRNA from 1 species
CCUACGGGUGGCAGCAGUGGGGAAUAUUGGGCAAUGGGCGCAAGCCUGACCCAGCAACGCCGCGUGAAGGAAGAAGGCUUUCGGGUUGUAAACUUCUUUUGUCAGGGACGAAGCAAGUGACGGUACCUGACGAAUAAGCCACGGCUAACUACGUGCCAGCAGCCGCGGUAAGACGUAGGUGGCAAGCGUUAUCCGGAUUUACUGGGGGUAAAGGGGGUGUAGGCGGGGAAGCAAGUCAGAUGUGAAAACCACGGGCCCAACCUGUGGCCUGCAUUUGAAACUGUUUUUCUUGAGUGCUGGAGAGGCAAUCGGAAUUCCGGGUGUAGCGGUGAAAUGCGUAGAUAUACGGAGGAACACCAGUGGCGAAGGCGGAUUGCUGGACAGUAACUGACGCUGAGGCGCGAAAGCGUGGGGAGCAAACAGGAUUAGAUACCCUUGUAGUC